AUGUUAUUGAGAACACAUUGGCAGAAACGAGACGCGAAAAGAAUGAAUCAUGGAGAUGGCGCUGAUCCUUGGGGUUAUCGAAGGCCAGAAACGCCCCUUUGGGAUGUAGCAGAGUACAAUCAACUCAUUUCUGCAGGGCCAUUGCUGCCACUACUAGAACAGUACGUAGGCAUUGGUUCUUAUGACCAAAACACACUCAGCGGGGCACCAUGGCAAGUUCAGCCACAGGGCGCUAACACUGACAAAUGUACGGGCAGCCAACUUCAACUAGCUAAUGUGGCAAAUCAAGAACCUUCAUGCAGCACGUGGCAUCAGGCGGCACCCAUGUACCUGCCAUCGAUGUCAUACACAAGUUAUUACGGUGCUGCUACCCCGGCAAUCGUCUCAUGGCAAGCUUCACAGAUUGCAGAUAGAGCACGUCAAUUUGGUGUUACAGACCACACAAGAUGGGCACAUGCAGCACAACAAGGGCCUACAACUAUAGUGAACAUCGGUGCGGGGACAUCUACUGCGGGGAGCUCUGAGCGCACGGAAGACACGUUCCACCAGCCAACCAACAAUCAUGCCGCAAACAAUGCCGAGUCAGAGACGAAAAUGGCAAUCAUUCAAGCAAUGCCGACAAGCACCGCUUUGAACACAAGCACUGGCAACACUCAAGUAGAUGAAACUGCCGCCGAUACUGAAGUGAAUGAUGAAACUGAUGACGAAACACAAGGGGAUGAAGAUGGUGGGCAAUCAGAGAUCGUGGUACCUCAGCCACCGUACGUUGGGCAGAGAUUUGAAUCGUUCACAGAAGCAAAGGAAUUCUACCAGACAUAUGCAAAGUUCCAUGGGUUUGCGGUCAACACCGAAUACCAUAGGAAGAUUAAGAAAACAAACGAGUACAGUAGAGGUGAGAUGAGGUGCCACAAUGCAUGA
rnacentral:rRNA from 1 species